rnacentral:rRNA from 1 species
CCUAUGGGGUGCAGCAGGCGCGAAACCUUUACAAUGCGGGCAACCGUGAUAAGGGAACCUCGAGUGCCUGUAAACGCAGGCUGUUCAGGUGUUUAAAACGCACCUGGAGAAAGGGCCGGGCAAGACCGGUGCCAGCCGGGUUGUUAAGUCUCUUGGGAAAUCUGGCGGCUUAACCGUCAGGCGUCUAAGGGAUACUGGCAAUCUUGGAACCGGGAGAGGUGAGGGGUACUUCGGGGGUAGGGGUGAAAUCCUGUAAUCCUCGAGGGACCACCUGUGGCGAAGGCGCCUCACCAGAACGGCUUCGACAGUGAGGGACGAAAGCUGGGGGAGCAAACCGGAUUAGAUACCCCAGUAGUCC